GGAGAGGUACCGAAGUGGUCAUAACGGGUCCGCCUCGAAAGCGGAUUGGCUCUUCACGGGGCCACGUGGGUUCGAAUCCCACCCUCUCCG
rnacentral:tRNA from 1 species